AUUCUCACCAAUCUCUCUCAGUAUCACUUCACUUCCAAUGGCGAGCUCAGCUGUAAUUGGUUGGAGGAUUCUGUUCCUUCUAUUGGCCUCAACAAUGGUUGCAACUCUUGUUUACACAAUCGCCACUCAGGGCUCUCCUUUCCGCACAUAACAUCUCUCACGCAUUACUACACGCGCCUACGUUCUUUGGCAGUUGUGGCAAUUAUCAUCUCAGGAAUCCUUCGAAGAUAUCAUGUACAUGUUCUGAUCAAGAAUCCAAACAAAGGUUAGCAAGCUUAUAACCCAUUUGCAGCUGGAUGGUGGCAAUACUGAUUGAUUUCUAUAUAAAUGCCACAGUUUUGUCGAUCUGGAUGUUCUAUAAGGAAGAAUCGUGGCUUACUGCAAUUUUUUGGAUAGUUCUAUUGCUAAGUUUUGGGAGGUAAUCCGUCAUUUUUGUUGCUAAAGUCGCAUAUCUUUAUUUCGUUUGAACCCGUCAUCGCCAAGGGAACAAUGAUAAUACUUUUUUUUCCUACUGAUGAUCAUUUAUAAGUUCAUUUUCCAGCCUACUUCUCAUAAAGCAAGUUCAAAUGAAAAUUCUCUUAUGUUUGCAUAUGUACUUGCACCUUCAAAUUCUCUUUCUUUUUUCCCCUGAUAAGAAACGAAAUAUAUAUGGGAAAAAAAAGGAAAAAAAAGAAGAAGAAGAUACAGCCUAGGGGCUGGGGAAGAGGGUGUCCCCUCCCACAAACAAAAAAAAAAAAAAAAAAAAAA